CCUACGGGAGGCAGCAGUGGGGAAUAUUGGACAAUGGGGGGAACCCUGAUCCAGCCAUGCCGCGUGUGUGAAGAAGACCCUCGGGUUGUAAAGCACUUUCAGUGAGGAAGAACGCCUGGUGGUUAAUACCCAUCAGGAAAGACAUCACUCACAGAAGAAGCACCGGCUAACUCCGUGCCAGCAGCCGCGGUAAUACGGAGGGUGCGAGCGUUAAUCGGAAUUACUGGGCGUAAAGCGCGCGUAGGUGGCUUGAUAAGCCGGUUGUGAAAGCCCCGGGCUCAACCUGGGAACGGCAUCCGGAACUGUCAAGCUAGAGUGCAGGAGAGGAAGGUAGAAUUCCCGGUGUAGCGGUGAAAUGCGUAGAGAUCGGGAGGAAUACCAGUGGCGAAGGCGGCCUUCUGGACUGACACUGACACUGAGGUGCGAAAGCGUGGGUAGCAAACAGGAUUAGAUACCCGUGUAGUC
rnacentral:rRNA from 1 species